rnacentral:lncRNA from 1 species
GACUAUGAAAUCAGAAUCCUAGCUUACGAGAUCUAAUUGAUUUCAUCUCAGAGUCCAUAGACUCCGACUGGCGGACUCAAAGUGGUUCACCGUUCACUCCCUUACCGCCUCUCUCUUUUUCCGACGACAUUCUCUCCCAAACCUCUCUCCGUCCGUGAAAGAUCAGCGUCCGAUUCAAGCAUUUUCUUCCUCAAAUGAGCAUCGUCGGAUCUUGUAUCUCACUCGCAGCGAUUCGUGCAUAGCUUGACCUCCAUGGCGUCGAUUUCUAGUGACAGUUCAUAUGGCAAGGCUCUGAUGAUGGGAACUACAACUGUAACCACACUUUGAAAGAUCAUACAACUGAGUAUGGAUAGAGAAGUAUGUGGGGACUUGUAUCCAACCCGGACCGAGCACAAGCUCUUUUAAUUGGAUGGCUUCAGAACUACAUUCCUUGUUUGCAGUCAGGGAAGUUUGUGGAUGCAUGCAUUCUUCCAUGGAGUCAUAUGACUAUGAGAUGAUGGCUUUAUGAUGUACGACUUCUUUAUGGGAAAUGGUUGGCAUGUGGCAUCAUAUCAAGCUAUCAUCAGCCCCUUCAAGUACUCAUGUAAUCAAUCAGAAGACAAGUCUAAUCUAGCUAGCAUGUUCUAUAUUUGAAAACCAGUUUAAUUAUACUAUGAUUUUGUAAUAUGAAGUUACUUAAUUGAUAUAAUUUACUACAUGAAUACUUUUGUUUACCAUGCUUGAAUG